GACCGUUCCGGUGGUUUAGUGGUUAGAGAACCCAUCUCAGAUGCGGGCGGUCGCGGGUUUGAAUCCCCAUCUGAGUCA